GGUCACGUAGCGGAGUGGUUACCGCGAUGCUCUUGUGAGUCUUGACCCCGAAGAUACCUUCUCCAAAGUGUUUGUCCCAUACUAACACACGCAAUUAGAUACCUCCAAGCCAUUGGAAGUUAUGCAUAGGUCCUGGGUUCGACCCCCAGCGCGACCA
rfam:Neurospora crassa OR74A linkage group I, whole genome shotgun sequence.